rnacentral:tRNA from 1 species
GUCCCUAUCGUCUAGUCAGGCCCAGGAUAUCCCGUUCUCUGCGGGAAGACAGAGGUUCAAAUCCUCUUGGGGACGCCA